UAUCUAGUUUAAUAUAAAGAGAGAAAAGGUAUUAGCGGCGCUUUAUAAUUAUUUGUGGCUAUUGAUGAAACUUUUGCCUGGGAUUUUGUUAUAAAUUCAUUGAGAGGUAGAUAGGGAAAGGGGCCGAAAACUUAGAAGAUUUUAAAGAGGGAGAAGAAAAAGAGAGGUGAAUGAGCAGAAAGAGAAGGAAAGAAUGAGAAGCUAUAUAUAUCUCUAGAGAGAGAGAGA
rnacentral:lncRNA from 1 species